rnacentral:rRNA from 1 species
GACGAACGCUGGCGGCGUGCCUAAUACAUGCAAGUUGAGCGAUGAAGAUUGGUGCUUGCACCAAUUUGAAGAGCAGCGAACGGGUGAGUAACGCGUGGGGAAUCUGCCUUUGAGCGGGGGACAACAUUUGGAAACGAAUGCUGAUACCGCAUAACAACUUUAAACAUAAGUUUUAAGUUUGAAAGAUGCAAUUGCAUCACUCAAAGAUGAUCCCGCGUUGUAUUAGCUAGUUGGUGAGGUAAAGGCUCACCAAGGCGAUGAUACAUAGCCGACCUGAGAGGGUGAUCGGCCACAUUGGGACUGAGACACGGCCCAAACUCCUACGGGAGGCAGCAGUAGGGAAUCUUCGGCAAUGGACGAAAGUCUGACCGAGCAACGCCGCGUGAGUGAAGAAGGUUUUCGGAUCGUAAAACUCUGUUGGUAGAGAAGAACGUUGGUGAGAGUGGAAAGCUCAUCAAGUGACGGUAACUACCCAGAAAGGGACGGCUAACUACGUG